UACGUAGGUGGCGAGCGUUGUCCGGAUUUACUGGGCGUAAAGGGAGCGUAGGCGGACUUUUAAGUGAGAUGUGAAAUACUCGGGCUCAACUUGAGUGCUGCAUUUCAAACUGGAAGUCUAGAGUGCAGGAGAGGAGAAUGGAAUUCCUAGUGUAGCGGUGAAAUGCGUAGAGAUUAGGAAGAACACCAGUGGCGGAGGCGGUUCUCUGGACUGUAACUGACGCUGAGGCUCGAAAGCGUGGGGAGCAAACAGG
rnacentral:rRNA from 1 species